ACUCAGUUGAUGAAUCCCGAAUAGGACGAAACGCGCGUCCUGGAU
rnacentral:hammerhead_ribozyme from 1 species